rnacentral:rRNA from 1 species
UACGAAGGGGCUAGCGUUGCUCGGAAUCACUGGGCGUAAAGCGCACGUAGGCGGAUACUUAAGUCGGUGGUGAAAUCCUGGAGCUCAACUCCAGAACUGCCUCCGAUACUGAAUGUCUUCGAGUCCGGGAGAGGUGAGUGGAACUGCGAGUGUAGAGGUGAAAUUCGUAGAUAUUCGCAAGAACACCAGUGGCGAAGGCGGCUCACUGGCCCGGUACUGACGCUGAGGUGCGAAAGCGUGGGGAGCAAACAGG